rnacentral:rRNA from 1 species
GGAGAUUAAGCGUGUUGUGAAAUGUAGACGCUCAACGUCUGCACUGCAGCGCGAACUGGUUUCCUUGAGUACGCACAAAGUGGGCGGAAUUCGUGGUGUAGCGGUGAAAUGCUUAGAUAUCACGAAGAACUCCGAUUGCGAAGGCAGCUCACUGGAGCGCAACUGACGCUGAAGCUCGAAAGUGCGGGUAUCGAACAGGAUUAGAUACCCUGGUAGUCCGCACGGUAAACGAUGGAUGCCCGCUGUUGGUCUGAAUAGGUCAGCGGCCAAGCGAAAGCAUUAAGCAUCCCACCUGGGGAGUACGCCGGCAACGGUGCAACUCAAAGGAAUUGACGG